rnacentral:rRNA from 1 species
ACACAUGCAAGUCGAGCGAUUCUCUUCGGAGAUGAGCGGCGGACGGGUGAGUAACGCGUGGGUAACCUGCCCUGUACACACGGAUAACAUACCGAAAGGUAUGCUAAUACGGGAUAAUAUAAGAAAUUCGCAUGUUUUUCUUAUCAAAGCUCCGGCGGUACAGGAUGGACCCGCGUCUGAUUAGCUAGUUGGUGAGGUAACGGCUCACCAAGGCGACGAUCAGUAGCCGACCUGAGAGGGUGAUCGGCCACAUUGGAACUGAGACACGGUCCAAACUCCUACGGGAGGCAGCAGUGGGGAAUAUUGCACAAUGGGCGAAAGCCUGAUGCAGCAACGCCGCGUGAGCGAUGAAGGCCUUCGGGUCGUAAAGCUCUGUCCUCAAGGAAGAUAAUGACGGUACUUGAGGAGGAAGCCCCGGCUAACUACGUGCCAGCAGCCGCGGUAAUACGUAGGGGGCUAGCGUUAUCCGGAUUUACUGGGCGUAAAGGGUGCGUAGGCGGUCUUUUAAGUCAGGAGUGAAAGGCUACGGCUCAACCGUAGUAAGCUCUUGAAACUGGAGGACUUGAGUGCAGGAGAGGAGAGUGGAAUUCCUAGUGUAGCGGUGAAAUGCGUAGAUAUUAGGAGGAACACCAGUAGCGAAGGCGGCUCUCUGGACUGUAACUGGCGCUGAGGCACGAAAGCGUGGGGAGCAAACAGGAUUAGAUACCCUGGUAGUCCACGCCGUAAACGAUGAGUACUAGCUGUCGGAGGUUACCCCCUUCGGUGGCGCAGCUAACGCAUUAAGUACUCCGCCUGGGGAGUACGCUCGCAAGAGUGAAACUCAAAGGAAUUGACGGGGACCCGCACAAGUAGCGGAGCAUGUGGUUUAAUUCGAAGCAACGCGAAGAACCUUACCUAAGCUUGACAUCCUUUUGACCGAUGCCUAAUCGCAUCUUUCCCUUCGGGGACAGAAGUGACAGGUGGUGCAUGGUUGUCGUCAGCUCGUGUCGUGAGAUGUUGGGUUAAGUCCCGCAACGAGCGCAACCCUUGCCUUUAGUUGCCAUCAUUAAGUUGGACACUCUAGAGGGACUGCCAGGGAUAACCUGGAGGAAGGUGGGGAUGACGUCAAAUCAUCAUGCCCCUUAUGCUUAGGGCUACACACGUGCUACAAUGGGUGGUACAGAGGGCAGCGAAGUCGUGAGGCCAAGCUAAUCCCUUAAAGCCAUUCUCAGUUCGGAUUGUAGGCUGAAACUCGCCUACAUGAAGCUGGAGUUACUAGUAAUCGCAGAUCAGAAUGCUGCGGUGAAUGCGUUCCCGGGUCUUGUACACACCGCCCGUCACACCAUGGGAGUUGGGGGCGCCCGAAGCCGGCUAGCUAACCUUUUGGAAGCGGUCGUCGAAGGUGAAACCAAUAACUGGGGUG